UAGGUUGCUCGACUUAAUGCAAACUAUCCUGGUGGGUUGGCAUCAUAUAUCAAAACUGCCAGAGAACUCCUAGCAGAUUCAAAGGUGGGGAAGAUCCCAUUUGAUGGUUUUACACCUUCUGGUAAUUCAAAUCAAAUGGGCAAGAAGAAGACUUGUUGAAGUUGAAGUUGAAGCUGAAGAUGGGGUCGUGGCUGUGCUUUCAGUCUUUUCCUUCACCUUGGAUGGGUUCUUUUUGAAAAACUUGUACUACAUUUGUCAAAAAUACUUAAUUCUUUUUGUGUGACAUUUAGUAUCUUUAUCUAGACAAUUUGGAUGUAUUUUCAUAUUGGCAGGUUAACUUGUGGUUGUAUUAGUAUACAUUUUGGCUUUUUGGUUGA